AAGCAAAAUCUAUGUUAAAAUGUAUGUUUUUUUAAAUUUAUGUUUUUAAAAUUUAAUAGUAAAUAGUUAAUAAAGUAACAUGAGAGGUGAAUGAGAGGGUUGGGAAGGGAAUAUUUGAUCAUGGCGCUAUUGGACUACAAUUUUUGCGGUCUACUCCUAUUUGAAAUUUCCAUGUAAAUUAUGUACAUUAUACAUACAUAUCCAGUUUGUUUUCUGGAAAAAACAGACUAAUUAUCAUCAAGUCAAUAUUAAAGUGCUUUGUAUUGAAAACUACAGCUCCCCUUCCUUGAGCAGUGGGCUUUAGGACAUUGGAUUGGAAGGCAGUGGAAUAAAUAAUGUAUUUGUGUGUGACUUAAGAUGUAAAAUGACUUGUGAAGAGAGGAAGGCUAUUCUGAGGAACUGUAGCACUGAUGUGAAAAAGAUGAACACAUAUUUUCAGAAAUAAUUUGUUAAAGUAAAACCACCCCCAAAUGUAUGAAUAUCUUUCCACCAAAUGUUAGUUCUUUUUUAUUUAAGUUUUCAUUUAAAUUCUAGUUAAUGUACCUGGAAGAUUGGUUUCAGGUGUCCAAUUUAGUGAUUCAACACUUACAUACAUACAACACCGAGUCCCCACAAGUGCUGUCCUUAAUCCCCAUCACCUGUCUCCCCUGUGCCCCUCCCACCGCCCCUCUGGUGCCCAUCAGUUUGUUCUCUGUAGUGUAGUUCUUGGUUCUCCUUUCUCUUUGUGUCCCUAUGCUCGUUUGUUUUGUUGCUGAAAUUCCACAUAUGAGUGAGAUCAUACGGUGUUGAUGAGUGAGAUCAUACAGUAUUUGUCUUUCUCUGAUUUAUUUCUCUCUAGCCCCAUCCACAUUGUUGCAAAUGGCAAGAUUUCAUUCUUUUUUAUGGUUGAGUAGUAUUCCAUUGUAUAUGUAUGCCACAUCUUCCUUAAGUUUGUUUAUUUUGAGAGAGAGAGAAAGCAUGAGUUGGGGAGGGGGGGAAGAGAGGGAGAAAGAGAGCAUCCCAAGCAGGCUCCCCACUGUCAGUGCAGAACCUGACUCGGGGCUCAAACUCACACACCGUGAGAUCAUGACCUGAGCCGAAGUCAGGCACUUCAUUGAUUGAGCCACCCGGGCACCCCUAUGUUACAUCUUCUUUAUCCAUUCAUCAGUUGAUGGACACUUGGGCCAUUUCCAUAAUUUGGCUGUUGUAGGUAAUGGUGCUGUAAACAUCAGGGUACAUGUAUCCCUUCGAAUUAGUAUUUUGUAUUUUUUGGGUAAAUACCUAGUGGUGCCAUUGCUGGAUCGUAGGGUAGUUCUACUUUUAACUCUUGUACUCUCAGUGGGAAUGCAGACUGGUGCAAAAACGGUAUGGAGUCUCCUCGAAUGUUCGUUCUAAGAGAAGAAUUGGGAAGUCUUUGCACCUGCCCAUCUUACAUAUCAGUUCUGCCUCUACUACUCUGCUCCCUAGUCACUCCCCUCUCAGGUGAGAUUAUGUCAGAGAAACUACUGUCAUGUGAGUUUAUUUUAAGUAAGGCCACUUUCAAAUUUUUAAUAAAAUGGCUUCUUUCUGAAAGCACAAAAGAUGAAAUCUCAUUAAGGAAAAGUAUCAGUUAUGUGGCGUAUAUUAUAUGAAUGUGAUUUUACAUCCACGUGAGCCGUAGGACCAAGCGUGACCACACUACACAGUACCUCUGAUUUCAUUACACCUCUUAACCACUUGUGGGGUCUUGCUUUGUCUGUGCUUUGGCUUCUCUUCAAAUCACUAAUCUUUUAUGUUUAUUUUCUGGAUGGGAAGAGAGUACAUUUUACCUACACAAAUCUAAGGCCAUUGAAAUACAAGCUUGUCGAUGUGAAAAUUAAUGACCAAUGUAUCAAAAUUACAAGACAAAGUUGUUACAUUCUAAUAUUUACCCAGAGCAAAUCAGUCAUAUAACUCGUUUGACCGCUGUCUCAAGAGCCACGGGCCAGAACGAAAUUCAUUUUUAUGGAGAAGAAUGAUGAAUAAAACGGGAAUAAGGACUAGGUCUAGGUUCUCAAUAGUAUUGGUGAUGAAUUGAAAGGAAAUCUUUUGGUUUGGUGUUAUAAGUCCCCUAUUAUACAUUUCCCCAGGUUAGCAUAUACUGUUUCUUGGAAGGACACUCCUGACUAGAAGAUACUUGGAGAAAUUACACAGCUUGGAGGUGAGGGGACAUUGCCAUGUCCUUGGGGUCCUCCGCCAUCGGGCACUUGAGCUGAAACUCAUGCCUGAAAACCUCAGGCUGAAAGUUUACGUGCCUCCUUCCAUUGCCGCUAAUCCCAUCACCAUCACUACAUUGUUGUCAUGGUGGCAGAACACUUGGACUUCGCUCCGUUACCCUAGGAUAGCUCCACGGAUGCCCUGACCGAAAAGAUGACAGUGCUGCCCAAGACCCUGCUGGGUCAGCUGCUCUGCCCGCCUAUAGGAGAUGUCUCUUGCUGGGAAUCAGUCAGCUGCUAUGUUCUGAUGCUUUGUGACUGAAACAGGCGUCAUUGUCUAUUACGACCUGAUUGCCAAAGGAGUGCCACCAUCUUGGAAGCUGGCCACCAUACCAGUACAGGGAAAAGAAGUUCUUCCCAUAAUCCCUCUUCCCCUCAGGAAACAUGUUAGGGUUUGAAGACAAAGAACAAGUG